rnacentral:rRNA from 1 species
AACGAACGCUGGCGGCAUGCCUAACACAUGCAAGUCGAACGAGACCUUCGGGUCUAGUGGCGCACGGGUGCGUAACGCGUGGGAACCUGCCCUUAGGUUCGGAAUAACUCCCCGAAAGGGGUGCUAAUACCGGAUAAUGUCUUCGGACCAAAGAUUUAUCGCCUUUGGGUGGGCCCGCGUUGGAUUAGCUAGUUGGUAGGGUAAAAGCCUACCAAGGCGACGAUCCAUAGCUGGUCUGAGAGGAUGAUCAGCCACACUGGGACUGAGACACGGCCCAGACUCCUACGGGAGGCAGCAGUGGGGAAUAUUGGAAAAUGGGCGAAAGCCUGAUCCAGCAAUGCCGCGUGAGUGAUGAAGGCCUUAGGGUUGUACAGCUCUUUUACCCGGGAUGAUAAUGACAGUACCGGGAGAAUAAGCUCCGGCUAACUCCGUG